AACGAACGCUGGCGGCAUGCCUAAUACAUGCAAGUCGAACGAGACCUUCGGGUCUAGUGGCGCACAGGUGCGUAACGCGUGGGAAUCUGCCCUUGGGUUCGGAAUAACGUUUGGAAACGGACGCUAAUACCGGAUGAUAUCGAAAGAUCAAAGAUUUAUCGCCCAGGGAUGAGCCCGCGUAGGAUUAGCUAGUUGGUGAGGUAAAGGCUCACCAAGGCGACGAUCCUUAGCUGGUCUGAGAGGAUGAUCAGCCACACUGGGACUGAGACACGGCCCAGACUCCUACGGGAGGCAGCAGUAGGGAAUAUUGGACAAUGGGGGCAACCCUGAUCCAGCAAUGCCGCGUGAGUGAUGAAGGCCUUAGGGUUGUAAAGCUCUUUUACCCGGGAUGAUAAUGACAGUACCGGGAGAAUAAGCCCCGGCUAACUCCGUGCCAGCCGCCGCAGUAAGAC
rnacentral:rRNA from 1 species